rnacentral:tRNA from 1 species
GGGCGUGUGGCUCAGAGGGAGAGCGUUCGGUUCGCAUCCGAAAAGUCGCGGGUUCGAAUCCCGCCACGUCCACCA